AAUGAACGUUGGCGGCGUGGAUUAGGCAUGCAAGUCGUGCGAGAACCGUAGCGAUAUGGGGACAGCGGCGAAAGGGAGAGUAACGCGUGGAUACCUACCCCCAGGACCAGGAUAGCCGCGGGAAACUGCGGGUAAUACUGGAUAAUGUCUCCGGACCAGAGGUGUGAUUCCGCCCGGGGAUGGUUCCGCGUCCUAUUAGCUAGUUGGUAGGGUAAUGGCCUACCAAGGCAAAGAUGGGUAUGGGGUGUGAGAGCAUGCCCCCACUCACUGGGACUGGGACACUGCCCAGACACCUACGGGUGACUGCAGUCGAGGAUCUUCGGCAAUGGGCGCAAGCCUGACCGAGCGACGCCGCGUGCGGGAUGAAGGCCUUCGGGUUGUAAACCGCUGUCAGAGGGGAGGAAAUGCCGUGGGGUUCUCUCCACGGUUUGACCUAUCCUCAGAGGAAGGACGGGCUAAGUUCGUGCCAGCCGCCGCGGUAAAAC
rnacentral:rRNA from 1 species